UUGCUAGCCCUAAAACUACUAUCACCUCUAGAUUUGUGGAUCUCACGCUUGAUAAAUUAAAAUACAUUUAAUAGAGCAUGAGCUAUUGUUUAAGUUUUACACAUAAUUUAAAAGUUUUUAUUUGGAAUUUCGUGGCUUAAUGUAUAACAUGUGAUAACUUUUUAAGAUGCAGUAACAGAAACUCGUUCGGUUGGAACCCAAAUACAUUUAGCUUAUUGACUUAAACAUACCCAUAUGCACAUACAUACAUAACAUACAUAUGUAUUAAAGAGUAGGCCCAUAUAUUCGUGUGGUGCCUGUGCUGCUGAUAGUGUAAAUGUGUAAAAUGUCUGUGGAUUCUGCUGUAAAUAUGUUUUUAUUUAAACAAAUAUGUACAUAAUUGCACGAAAAAUCUGUGCAUAUAUGCGCACAUGCCCAUGCAUAUCUGCAUAUUUCUCUACAUGCAUAUGUGUGUGCUCUAACUACAAUACAUACCACCAUUCGCAAACAGUUUGUCCAAAAAGUGUGUGUCUACUACAAGAUAAAACAAAAAGAAAAGUAAAAAACAGUUGCUGUUGCCAAAAUCAUGUCGCUAUGUUAAGUAAUUUAGAUUAAUUCGGUGUUCUCUAACAAGGAUUUCGAUUGUUUUAAAACAAGCGCAGUUUCGUUCGGUUCAUUCAGUGCACCAAUUAAAUUCAUCAAAUUCCGUACAUUGUGCAUUGACUUCAAUAAGAACGAUAUACGAUAUAUAAUAUUGGCAAGUUGAACAAUAAUAAUUCGGCCAAUAAAUGUAUUUUGCUAAGAGGAAAAUGAUUAUUUUGUUUAUCAUUGAUAAAAUCCCUAAACAUAACCUCAAAUAUUGAUAUGGAAAAAUAGUCGUAGUCGUAAAUGGAUUUCCAAAUAGAUUUUUGAAUGGAUGCAGCUAAAAUAAUUUGAUCAAGUCUUUUAACUUACAAAACUAUGGCAAACACCAUUUCGUUAAUGUCGAACGCGAUACGCAAUGUAGUGAGCAAAAAACGUAUACGAUAUAAGGAGAAGGGAUACAACCUGGAUCUUACUUACAUUGACGAGCGCAUCAUUGCCAUGGGAUAUCCAGCGCCCGAUAUACUAGAGGGAAUAUAUCGAAACCGCUUUGAAGACGUAUACAAGUUUCUGGAGGAGAAUCAUGGCCAACAUUACAAGAUAUACAAUCUUUGCCCAGAGCGCAACUACGACAUCUCCAAGUUUCACGGAAGAGUGGGUAUCUUUCCAUUCGAAGACCAUAACCCUCCAACUAUCGAGUUAAUACAACGAUUCUGCAAAGACGUUGACCUGUGGCUAAAGGAAAACGAUGCUAAUGUUGUGGCCAUACAUUGCAAAGCGGGCAAAGGAAGAACCGGAACCAUGAUUUGUGCAUAUUUACUGUAUAGCGGAUUAAAGAAGUCCGCCGAUGAGGCAUUAGCGUGGUAUGAUGAGAAGCGUACAAAGGAUGGUAAAGGUGUGACAAUCCCAUCUCAGCGUCGAUAUGUUCAGUAUUUUUCCAAAUUAGUUUGUUCAAGUGUUCCAUAUUCGAAAAUAAGCCUUAACGUCUGUGAAAUACGAUUCUCGGUGUCCAGUUUUCUGCAAAAUUUAGGAACGGUUGAAUGCUCAGUAUCUGUAUUAACCGACUCAGCUACUGAAAAUGUUAAGCCAGAAAGACUGAAAACCUGGACGAUUGAUUUCCAGAAAUCAUUUGUAUUGACCAGUAGUCCAUCUUUUGCAGUUGCCGGUGAUUUAAAAUUUGAACUAGCACAAAAAUCCUCAAGAAAGAUAGUUUGUCACUUCUGGCUGAAUACAUUUUUUGUGCAAAAUUCUUCAAAUUGUGAAGCCGAGGGAUCAGUUAAUAAAUAUACACUCACUUUAAGCAAAUCGGAAAUUGAUGAUGUUCACAAGGACAGGAAACAUAAAUUUUCAGAGGAUUUCAAGUUUACAAUCAUAUUUGAGGCAGAUAAUUAUUGCAAUAAUGUGCAAGCUGAACAACCCUCAGAGUUGGAGAAGAACGACAACGUUUUACACAACUGUUUUCUUAAGAAAAAAGCCCUGAGUGCGAUCGUCAAUGAGAAUAAUACAUCGAAAAGUCAAACUAUAGAACCGUUAUUGGAUCAUAAGGAUCACAAUAUAGUUACUAAAAUUCAAUACGACACAUCAGCCAAUUCAAAAAACACUUGUUCUUCUUCGAGCGCGUCUAAACGCAAACAGCCCAAUAAUAGCAAGCCUCUUUCAUCCAGCUUGAAUGAUUCCAGCACAAGAGAGGAUAUAAAAAAGAAUCAUAUGUAUAAUAAUCAGCCGUCCAUUAAGAAAACCGAUUUAAUCACAUGGCAGAAUAGCGAUGUUCAUAUCACCAGCUCUUCUGACACUCGAAGUAUAAAUGAGAAUAAGAACAUCAAUUACAAUUCAUACAUCACAUGUAAUCAAUCCUCCAAUCCAAAAUUCAGCUGUGGCACCGAAGAAGGCGAGGAAGAUUGGGAAUCCGAAUAAUCAUCCGAGACGAUUUAAAAGACUUCUGGCUGAACGAUCUCUUAUUUUUUGCUGUAUAAAACGAAGCCACCAGAACUGGAUUGCAUAUAUGUUUAAAAUAUAUAUAGAAUAAUGGAUUUAUAUGUCCCCAAGACUUUGAGAGCAUAUAUGCUGGCAGAUAGGCUGUCCAAGAUCUGCUUCCUUCCUUUAAACGGGAAAAUGAUCGAAAACAGUGGGGCCCUGCACACAUCUGUUUAGAAUAUAAACAAAAUAGGUGAAUCAACAUACCUGUAAUCAAUGCUUAUUACGGACUUAUAAUUCUUGGUGAUUUAGCAAAGUA